AUACGUAGGUGGCGAGCGUUGUCCGGAAUCACUGGGCGUAAAGCGCGCGCAGGCGGCGGUCUACGUCUGGGGUGAAAGCCCGGAGCUCAACUCCGGGACUGCCUUGGAUACGGGAUCGCUUGAGGAUUGGAGAGGCAAGGGGAAUUCCACGUGUAGCGGUGAAAUGCGUAGAGAUGUGGAGGAACACCUGUGGCGAAGGCGCCUUGCUGGCCAAUUACUGACGCUGAGGCGCGAAAGCGUGGGGAGCAAACAGGAUUAGAUCCCCUGGUAGUCCACGCCGUAAACGAUGAGUGCUAGGUGUUGGGGGGUACCCCCCUCAGUGCCGAAGCUAACGCAUUAAGCACUCCGCCUGGGGAGUACGGUCGCAAGACUGAA
rnacentral:rRNA from 1 species